AUUUAUGGCUACUUACCUGAUUUGUUGUGGAAUUGGCUCUCCAUCUUUGCCUUGACAAAAUGAUUUGCCUGUCCAUAGUGCAGCUAUGCACAUUUCUGGUUCCCUCUCGAUUUCAAGGCUGUCAAAAUCUCCUUUUCAUGAGUUAUGGCCAAGAGAGAGGGAAAGAGGAAAACAUAGAGACUCAAAGUAAUUUCUUUAUUCAACUGAGCUUAUGUGGCAAUCU